rnacentral:rRNA from 1 species
UUCCGGUUGAUCCUGCCGGACCCUACUGCUAUCGGGGUGGGACUAAGACAUGCGAGUCGUGCGUCUCUAAGCUAUGGUAGAGACGCGGCAUACGGCUCAGUUACACGUGGCUAACCUACCCUUAGGACGGGGACAACCCCGGGAAACUGGGGCUAAUCCCCGAUAGGUGAGGAGGCCUGGAAUGGUUCUUCGCUGAAAAGGCGUUGAAACCAUGCUUUUCAACGUCGCCUAAGGAUGGGGCCGCGCCCGAUCAGGUUGUUGGUGGGGUAACGGCUCACCAAGCCUAUAACCGGUACGGGCCGUGAGAGCGGGAGCCCGGAGAUGGGCACUGAGACAAGGGCCCAGGCCCUACGGGGCGCAGCAGUCGCGAAAACUCCGCAAUGCGCGAAAGCGUGACGGGGCUACCCCGAGUGCCGUCCGCUGAGGAUGGCUUUUCCCCGGUGUAAUGAGUCGGGGGAAUAAGGAGAGGGCAAGUCUGGUGUCAGCCGCCGCGGUAAUACCAGCUCUCCGAGUGGUAGGGACGAUUAUUGGGCUUAAAGCGUCCGUAGCCGGCUUAGCAAGUCUCCUGUUAAAUUCAGCGACCUAAUCGUUGAGCCGCGGGAGAUACUACUAGGCUAGGAGGCGAGAGAGGCCGACGGUAUUCUCGGGGUAGGGGUGAAAUCCUAUAAUCCCGGGAGGACCACCAGUGGCGAAGGCUGUCGGCUAGAACGCGCUCGACGGUGAGGGACGAAAGCUGGGGGAGCGAACCGGAUUAGAUACCCGGGUAGUCCCAGCUGUAAACGAUGCGGGCUAGGUGUUGGGGUGGCUACGAGCCACUUCAGUGCCGCAGGGAAGCCAUUAAGCCCGCCGCCUGGGGAGUACGGCCGCAAGGCUGAAACUUAAAGGAAUUGGCGGGGGAGCAU